AUUAACGGGACAUUCCAAGUCGUAACUUUCAAAAGUUCCUUCAAAACAAAUUAAAACGUAAAAAACGGAGAUCGGGUAAUGAGUCUACCUUUUCAAAUUUCAGGUGAAGUUUUCACGUGUACCUGGCCAACUAGGUGCUCGUGACAAUAGAAAUAAAAUUGCCUAAAAUCCAAUAAUCCAAGUUCGCAAGCUAUGUCUUCUGAAGCUAAACAAUUUCUGUUGCAAGAUUUUGUAAAUCUUCAAGAUAUUGAUGGUUUCGCCAGAUCAAAUGCUUUGAUGCUAUCUAUUUUGAGGCACAACAGCAAGAAAAUGCUGCCACUUAGGAUUUUGUGGUAAUCGCCACCUAGUUCUAAUUUAGGAGGACAAUGUUAAUCCCUCUCCUCUGUUUUGGAAACUGACAAGAGAUUGCUGGAAUUGAAGACUGAUAAUUUGUGAAGGUUUAUCGUUUAUGUUCCCGUAAUUGCUGUCCGGUGUGGCACGUAGUUGUUGUCUAUGCUGGUGAAAGGCUGAAAGUGAAAGCUCUUAUUGCAUGAAGUUAAACUGGCUGUUCCUUGGUACUGCUGUCGUGUUAAAUUGUUAUUGUGUCUAUACUCUAUACAGUUUACUGUUUAUGUGUUAAGAAGGAACAAAAACAGAAAUAUGGGGAUGUUUUAUGUCAAAAAAUAAUAAACAUUUGUUCGGGAUUGGGAUAGGAAAGUAGAGGAUGUAGUGGGGAGGAAUCAAUUAAUCUGUAACCCAACAAACAUAUACUUACUAUUAACCUCCAAAUCCCACCAACUUCUAAUCUUCAAACCCCACAAACAUAAACCCAGCCCACUCACCUACCAACUCUCAAACUUAUACCUUAAACCCCAUUAACCAGUGUUAACUUAACAAUAUGAUGUAUGUAAUAAAUAUAAAUUGAUACAUAUACGAACGUU
rnacentral:lncRNA from 1 species